rnacentral:tRNA from 1 species
UCCCUGGUGGCUUAGACGGCAAAGCGUCUGCCUACCAUGCAGGAGACCUGGGUUCGAUCCCUGGGUUGGGAA